rnacentral:rRNA from 1 species
UACGUAGGGAGCAAGCGUUGUCCGGAAUCAUUGGGCGUAAAGCGCGCGUAGGCGGCCUCAUAAGUCCGUUGUGAAAGUCAAAGGCUCAACCUUUGAAAGCCGAUGGAUACUGUGAGGCUAGAGUCCGGAAGAGGCGAGUGGAAUUCCUGGUGUAGCGGUGGAAUGCGCAGAUAUCAGGAGGAACACAAAUAGCGAAGGCAGCUCGCUGGGACGGUACUGACGCUAAGGCGCGAAAGCGUGGGGAGCGAACAGG